rnacentral:rRNA from 1 species
GGUGAACGCUGGCGGCGUGCCUAAGACAUGCAAGUCGAGCGGGCCGCGGGGUUUUACUCCGUGGUCAGCGGCGGACGGGUGAGUAACGCGUGGGUGACCUACCCGGAAGAGGGGGACAACCCGGGGAAACUCGGGCUAAUCCCCCAUGUGGACCCGCCCCUUGGGGUGUGUCCAAAGGGCUUUGCCCGCUUCCGGAGGGGCCCGCGUCCCAUCAGCUAGUUGGUGGGGUAAUGGCCCACCAAGGCGACAACGGGUAGCCGGCCUGAGAGGGGGGCCGGCCACAGGGGCACUGAGACACGGGCCCAAGUCCUAGGGGAGGCAGCAGUUAGGAAGCUUCCGCAAUGGGCGCAAGCCUGACGGAGCGACGCCGCUUGGAGGAAGAAGCCCUGCGGGGUGUAAACUCCUGAACCCGGGACGAAACCCCCGACGAGGGGACUGACGGUACCGGGGUAAUAGCGCCGGCCAACUCCGUG